UACGGAGGGGGCGAGCGUUGUUCGGAAUCAUUGGGCGUAAAGGGCGCGUAGGCGGCCGUCCAAGUCGGGUGUGAAAUCCCUCGGCUCAACCGAGGAACUGCACUCGAUACUGGUCGGCUAGAGUCCGGGGAGGGGAUGGUGGAAUUCCCAGUGUAGCGGUGAAAUGCGUAGAUAUUGGGAAGAACACCGGUGGCGAAGGCGGCCAUCUGGACCGGAACUGACGCUGAGGCGCGAAAGCCAGGGGAGCGAAUGGG
rnacentral:rRNA from 1 species